GGUUUUUUAGCGGGAAUUUAAGAAUUGCCGCUAAUCGGUUCUCUCAAUUGUCGGGGAAAAGCAAGUUCAUUUUGCCAGCGACAUUUUUACCUUUUUCCUCUACUUUUCGCUUCAUCUCCUUUCCCUCUUUUCUUGAAAUCCAAUUGGAGAGAAGUGAUCGAUCAAGUUCAUUAGCAAUGGCCUCCCUUACGCUCGACACCAUCAAUCCCAUGAUAUGCAGGCAUCUUCUGCACUAUUCUCUUAAACAAAUCAAUGUUCAAAUCCUGGCUGGAAGAACAUAAAGGGUUGCGAUUGUUGCAGAAUUUUGGUUGAGUCCACUUGGAUGUUUGAUAAGUGUCUUUUAUACACUUAUUUUAGUCUAUAAACUUAGCAUUUAUACAUUCAAUGAACAUGAUUUCUACUUGAUUUGGUUCUAUAUAUGGUCAUGUAGAUGUGAAGCAUGUGUUGAAGACAUUUGGAGCAAAAAAGUGAUGAUGUUGUCGCAUUUUUGGAGCUAAAUUGGGCAUUAAAGGCAAGGUCAAAGGUCCACUUAGGGUUGAGGUUGAGGAGGUCAUAAAGCAUCGGAAGGAGGAUGUCAUUGGUGAAGUGUUGGAAAGCAAGGAGAAACGGCUCACGGUGCUGUCACACAAAGCAUUGCGUGGUAUGGUCGUGGAUUAGCCAGGAAGACUUAAUUCUCUAUUGGGGUUGGAAGUGGACCAACACUGCACCUAGCAGCUAAAUUGCCAAGGUUGAGAGGUGUUGUUCUGCAUAGCGCCAUUCUUUCUGGCCUUCAUGUGGUCUUCUGUUUGAAGUUCAAUUUUGCUUUGACAUUUAUAGGGAGCUUGGCUUAAAAAGAUGUUUAGGAAUACUCCCACCUUCUGGUAUGUGCCCUGUGAGUGAUGGGAAAUUAAUCACUCCCUCUGGGUGGUGGGCGAUCACCCCAAUUUAUAUGUUCAAUUUGUAAUUCAUCCUCCAUCUACUUUAUUGUCUGAUCUUUGAAUUGCUUUCAAAGGCGUAUUAGGAUAGCCUUGAUAAGCUAUACAUGUGAUUCUCUCAUUUGUAACUCAUCGCUUUUCUUCAUUGCUUUUGGCUGUUAUCAAGUUUUUUUCUCCUGU